rfam:Triticum urartu cultivar G1812 contig862929, whole genome shotgun sequence.
GUCCCUUGUGGGACAUCCGAUUAAAUUGAAACGAUGCUGGAAAGAUUAGCAUGGCCCUGCAUAAGGAUGACGCGCACAAAUCGACAAAAGGAAUUUAUCCUU